rnacentral:rRNA from 1 species
UACAGAGGGGGCAAGCGUUAUUCGGAAUUAUUGGGCGUAAAGGGCGUGUAGGCGGCCUGCCAAGUCUGCUGUGAAAGCGCCUGGCUUAACCGGGCGAGGUCGGUGGAAACUGGCGGGCUGGAGGACGGUAGAGGGGGGUGGAAUUCCCGGUGUAGUGGUGAAAUGCGUAGAGAUCGGGAGGAACACCAGUGGCGAAGGCGGCCCCCUGGGCCGUUCCUGACGCUGAGACGCGAAGGCGCGGGGAGCGAACGGG